GACGAACGCUGGCGGCGUGCCUAAUACAUGCAAGUAGAACGCUGAAGGAGGAGCUUGCUCUUCUGGAUGAGUUGCGAACGGGUGAGUAACGCGUAGGUAACCUGCCUGGUAGCGGGGGAUAACUAUUGGAAACGAUAGCUAAUACCGCAUAAGAGUAGAUGUUGCAUGACAUUUGCUUAAAAGGUGCAAUUGCAUCACUACCAGAUGGACCUGCGUUGUAUUAGCUAGUUGGUGGGGUAACGGCUCACCAAGGCGACGAUACAUAGCCGACCUGAGAGGGUGAUCGGCCACACUGGGACUGAGACACGGCCCAGACUCCUACGGGAGGCAGCAGUAGGGAAUCUUCGGCAAUGGACGGAAGUCUGACCGAGCAACGCCGCGUGAGUGAAGAAGGUUUUCGGAUCGUAAAGCUCUGUUGUAAGAGAAGAAACGAGUGUGAGAGUGGAAAGUUCACCACUGUGAA
rnacentral:rRNA from 1 species